GCCGGUGAAAUCACGCCACCUAGG
rnacentral:siRNA from 1 species